UUACAAUGUAGAGUUUGAUCCUGGCUCAGGAUGAACGCUAGCUACAGGCUUAACACAUGCAAGUCGAGGGGCAGCAUUGAGAUAGCUUGCUAUUUCAGAUGGCGACCGGCGCACGGGUGAGUAACGCGUAUCCAACCUUCCCUAUAGUAGAGAAUAGCCCGGCGAAAGUCGGAUUAAUGCUCUAUAUGUUCUAUUGAUGGCAUCAGAGAUUGAACAAAGAAUUUCGCUAUAGGAUGGGGA
rnacentral:rRNA from 1 species